GAUGAACGCUGGCGGCGUGCCUAAUACAUGCAAGUCGAGCGAACGGACGAGAAGCUUGCUUCUCUGAUGUUAGCGGCGGACGGGUGAGUAACACGUGGAUAACCUACCUAUAAGACUGGGAUAACUUCGGGAAACCGUAGCUAAUACCGGAUAAUAUUUUGAACCGCAUGGUUCAAAAGUGAAAGACGGUCUUUCUGUCACUUAUAGAUGUAUCCGCGCUGCAUUAGCUAGUUGGUAAGGUAACGGCUUACCAAGGCAACGAUGCAUAGCCGACCUGAGAGGGUGAUCGGCCACACUGGAACUGAGACACGGUCCAGACUCCUACGGGAGGCAGCAGUAGGGAAUCUUCCGCAAUGGGCGAAAGCCUGACGGAGCAACGCCGCGUGAGUGAUGAAGGUCUUCGGAUCGUAAAACUCUGUUAUUAGGGAAGAACAUAUGUGUAAGUAACUGUGCACAUCUUGACGGUACCUAAUCAGAAAGCCACGGCUAACUACGUG
rnacentral:rRNA from 1 species